rnacentral:snRNA from 1 species
UAUUUUUUAAAAAUGUAUUAUGGUGCUCGCUUCGGGAUGAUACAGAGGUUAGCAUGGCCCCUGCACAAGGAUGGACAUGCAAAUUCGUGAAGCGUUCCAUAUUUUU